rnacentral:lncRNA from 1 species
ACUGAGUUGAUUUGAGAUCAAAUUUAAUUAAUUAGUGUAAUUUCUUCCAUCACAGAGGAACAAAAAUAUUUUUGAUAAUUUUUUUUUACCAAAUAGCAAUUAGAUUGAAAUUUUUAACGGAUUAAGAUAGAUAUUGUUUGAAAUGUAAUUAUGUAUUUUUAUUUAAAUAAUGAUUAUGCACGUCAAAUAUUUUGUUAAUUAAAUACCUAAAUGUUCUACUUUGUCUUCAUGAAAAAGAAAGUCUUACUUUGUUUGGAUGAUAACUUGUCAAUUGAAACUAAAUUAUUUUUUUCUAGACAUUAAAACUCACCCAACUUGUUUAAAUUAGAUAAAAUUGGAUAAUGACAUGAUAGAACUUAAUUUCAUGCAUAUUAUUUUCUUUACCGUGUAAAAAAGACUAAUUGUUUUAAAAAAAAGUGUUCAAUUAGUUUAUAAAAAAAACAAUUAUGCAUCUCAUUUGCACUUGAAACUCGAUCUACAACGAUUAUUCACAAAAUAUUAAUGAAACUUAUGUCGUUAAUCGAGAAUUGAAAAGUAAAAAAAGAAAUAGUUAUGAAUUAAUACUCAAAAUGAAUAAUAGAGCCAUUGGAAUCGAAUUGAGGAUUAGUUAAAAGCAUAUAUACCUUCAAUCUCCCUACCACACUUAAUAUAUAUAAUAUCACAAUCAAAUACUAAGGUCACCAAUUAAUAUUAGCAAAGCCCCCCUUCACUUGGAUUAUUG